AGGACGAACGCUGGCGGCGUGCUUAACACAUGCAAGUCGAACGGAGUUAAGCGCUGAAUGAAGCUUCGGCAGAUUUCUUGCUUAACUUAGUGGCGGACGGGUGAGUAACGCGUGAGUAACCUGCCCUCGAGUGGGGAAUAACGUUCUGAAAAGGACGCUAAUACCGCAUAACACAUAGAGACCGCAUGAUCUUUAUGUCAAAAGAUUUAUCGCUCGAGGAUGGACUCGCGUCCGAUUAGCUUGUUGGCGGGUAACGGCCCACCAAGGCGACGAUCGGUAGCCGGACUGAGAGGUUGAACGGCCACAUUGGGACUGAGACACGGCCCAGGACUCCUACGGGAGGCAGCAGUGGGGGAUAUUGCGCAAUACGGGGGGAAACCCUGACGCAGCAACGCCGCGUGGAGGAUGACGGUUUUCGGAUUGUAAACUCCUUUUAUGGGGGACGAACCAAGACGGUACCCCAUGAAUAAGCUCCGGCUAACUACGUGCCAGCCGCCGC
rnacentral:rRNA from 1 species